rfam:Ictidomys tridecemlineatus contig016396, whole genome shotgun sequence.
AAACAGGCCUUACUUGAGGCCUCCAACUGACCCAAAUCAGGAAUGU